UGGAUCCAGACCUUUAUCAUGGCUCAGAGUUAACGCUGGCAUCGUGCAUAACACAUGCAAGUCGAACGGGACUUUAAUUUGUAGCAAUACAGAUUGAAGUUUAGUGGCAGACGGGUGAGUAAUGUAUAAGUAACCAACCUUUAAGUGGGGAAUAACAAUCCGAAAGGGUUGCUAAUACCCCAUAACAUCUAGUAGCGGCAUCGUUAAUAGAUUAAAGAUUUAUCGCUUGAAGACGGACUUAUAUUCUAUCAGCUAGUUGGCAGUGUAACGGACUACCAAGGCGACGACGGAUAGCCGGCCUGAAAGGGCGACCGGCCACAAGGGCACUGAGACACGGGCCCUACUCCUACGGGAGGCAGCAGUGGGGAAUUUUGGACAAUGGGCGAAAGCCUGAUCCAGCAACGAUGCGUGGAGGAUGAAGGUUCUCGGAUUGUAAACUCCUUUUGAGAGGGAAGAAAAAAAUGACGGUACCUCUCGAAUAAGCCACGGCUAACUACGUGCCAGCAGCCGCGGUAAGACGUAGGUGGCAAGCGUUACUCGGAAUUACUAGGCGUAAAGCGCGCGUAGGCGGAAUGUUAAGUCUGUUGUGUAAUCUCUGGGCUCAACCCAGAAACUGCAACAGAAACUGGCGUUCUUGAGUGAGGCAGAGGAAAUCGGAAUUCCUAGUGUAGCAGUGAAAUGCGUAGAUAUUAGGAGGAACACCGGUGGCGAAGGCGGAUUUCUGGGCCUUUACUGACGCUAAAGUGCGAAAGCUAGGGGAGCAAACGGGAUUAGAUACCCCGGUAGUCCUAGCCGUAAACGAUGAUAACUAGGUGUGGGAGGUAUCGACCCCUUCCGUGCCGCCGCUAACGCAUUAAGUUAUCCGCCUGGGGAGUACGGCCGCAAGGUUACAACUCAAAUGAAUUGACGGA
rnacentral:rRNA from 1 species